GACGAACGCUGGCGGCGUGCCUAAUACAUGCAAGUCGAACGCAGUGGGGACGGGUGAGUAACACGUGGGUAACCUCCCAUCAGAGGGGAUAACACUUGGAAACAGGUGCUAAACCGAUACUGAUGGAUGGACCCGCGGUGCAUUAGCUAGUUGGUGAGGUAACGGCUCACCAAGGCCACGAUGCCUAGCAGCCCUGAGAGGAUGAUUAGCAAAACUGGGACUGAGACACGGCCCAGACUCCUACGGGAGGCAGCAGUGGGGAAUAUUGCACAAUGGGCGCAAGCCUGAUGCAGCCAUGCCGCGUGUAUGAAGAAGGCCUUCGGGUUGUAAAUUACUUUCAGUCGGGAGGCGUUACCGACAGAAGAAGCAUCGGCUAACUCCGUGCCAGCAGCCGCGGUAAUAC
rnacentral:rRNA from 1 species